rnacentral:rRNA from 1 species
CUACGUGCCAGCAGCCGCGGUAAUACGUAGGGGGCAAGCGUUAUCCGGAUUUACUGGGUGUAAAGGGAGCGUAGACGGAGCUGCAAGUCUGAUGUGAAAGCCCGGGGCUCAACCGCGGGACUGCUUUGGAAACUGUUUUGCUAGAGUGCUGGAGAGGUAAGUGGAAUUCCUAGUGUAGCGGUGAAAUGCGUAGAUAUUAGGAGGAACACCAGUGGCGAAGGCGGCUUACUGGACAGUAACUGACGUUGAGGCUCGAAAGCGUGGGGAGCA